rnacentral:rRNA from 1 species
GGGCCCGCACAAGCGGUGGAGCAUGUGGUUUAAUUCGAUGAUACGCGAGGAACCUUACCAGGGCUUAAAUGUAACGGGACAGAUCUAGAGAUAGAUCCUUCUUCGGACUCAUUACAAGGUGCUGCAUGGUUGUCGUCAGCUCGUGCCGUGAGGUGUCAGGUUAAGUCCUAUAACGAGCGCAACCCCUGUCGUUAGUUACCAGCAAGUAAUGUUGGGUACUCUAGCGAGACUGCCGGUGCAAACCGUGAGGAAGGUGGGGAUGACGUCAAAUCAUCACGGCCCUUACGUCCUGGCUACACACGUGCUACAAUGGUCGGUACAGAGAGCAGCCACUACGCGAGUAGGAG